CUUCCAUUUUGUUGAGGAUCCCACUGGGCACACCUUUAUUGAUGGAUGAACACAUCCAUGUUUUUAGCACCCAAAGCAUGUACCAGAACAUCGCUUGAAUCUUGGAAGACUGCUCAGGUCCCUACCAGUUGUACCCAUAACCCACACCUUUCAGGAAAACUAAACCGGUAGCCUGAACAUUUAAUAGCGGAGUUGGGGCUACCACACGUCGAUUUCCAGGCCAGUCACUUUUCCAUUAACAAAGGAUAUCACAAACAGCGGCAAAGAGGGAAUAAUGGAUGGACAGAGUCCUUCUUUCAGUUGAAAGAAAUGUGCAAACAUGAAAAAGAAGGAAAAGAAGACGACUAGCUCUACCUCACUCUGGUCAAGAUCUCA